rnacentral:rRNA from 1 species
GACGAACGCUGGCGGCGUGCUUAACACAUGCAAGUCGAACGGAAAGGCCCUGCUUUUGUUGGGUGCUCGAGUGGCGAACGGGUGAGUAACACGUGAGUAACCUGCCCUUGACUUUGGGAUAACUUCAGGAAACUGGGGCUAAUACCGGAUAGGAGCUCCUGCUGCAUGGGGGGGGUUGGAAAGUUUCGGCGGUUGGGGAUGGACUCGCGGCUUAUCAGCUUGUUGGUUGGGUAGUGGCUUACCAAGGGUUUAACGGGUAGCCGGCCUGGGAAGUGGGCCGGCGACCAUGCGCCUGCGAGACGGCGCAGAGGGCUACGGUGGGCAACAGGGGGAAACAUGACCCAACGGGCGGGCGUCUGAGGUGGCAACCUCGCGGGUGGGAAGAAGGCUUUCCGGGAAUAAAACGCCGCGGCCUAAUACGAAGUGGGAGUGACGGUAAUUGGUAAAGAAGCACCGGCUAACUACGUG